rnacentral:tRNA from 1 species
GCUGGUGUGGCUCAGUCGGUAGAGCAAUUGAUUCGUAAUCAAUAGGUCGGGAGUUCGAUUCUCUUCACCAGCACCA